GCGGCCCGGGCGCGUGUCCCCGCCCCGCAGCCAAUGAGGGCGUUGGGCCGGGGGUGAUGGGCUGCCUCUCGCGGGAGGGAUUCCUGGAGACGCUGCAGUGUGGCGGCGCUCCGGGCGCCGCGCAGCCCCCGUGCCGCCUCCGCCGCCCCGCCCGCCCUGCACUGCCCUGCCCGCCGGCGGCUGACACCGCCGCUCAAACUUAGCGCCCGGCGCGCCGCCAGCCCGCCGAGCGCAGGGAACCGGGGCAACCUGCCCGCCGUGCCGGGGGCGCUCCGCCCGCGCCCCGCCGUGCACCGCAGCCUCGCCCCGGGAGGUGCCGCCGCGGGGAGAGGCUGAAGGACGAGCCCGGAGCGCCCGACCCGGUUGCCAGGUGGUGUGGUAUUUCUCUGUGGGGCUGGUGGGUGCUACACAAGAGCCAUCAGAGACCUGCACCCUGCUUCUGGGAGAUGCUUGGUGGACUCAAGGGUGAUGAAUAUGCUUCAGAAAAAACCCGAAGAUUUAUGUGUUAGUAAUGAAGAG